UACCUUUAAAACCCUUUCUAUAAUAAACCGCCCGUUACGAUGUGCAUGUUUCCUACAAUAUAAGCAUCCACAUCCUAGUAACAAUAAAGCGGGUAACGCGAGAGCGUCGUUUUUCACUCCAGUUGUCAAAAGGAUUUUUUUUAUUUUCUCAGUUUCGUUGGCUGCUGGAGCCGGUCACCUCUCCUCCCCUUGUCCACCUGCAGGUACCUGCGGUGCCGCCUAGGGGACGACGGGGUCGGCCGUCGGCGGCACCUGGUGGAGCCGGCGGGUCAUAGGGCGGAGUGGAGGCCGGCCACCGGGCGGCGCAAGAAGUAGUAGCCAUGGCGCUUCGUGGUCGUUCCGUUAGCCGGCACGGGAGGUUCGGAGCUAGGAGAAACUGGGCGAACGGCAGCCAUAGCGUCCGCACCUCUAGAGGCUCGCCAAGCGGAUGUGGCCGUAGAGUCCCUUGGAGUAGCGGAUGGAGUGGCCUGGCGAUCCCGUCAGGUGCCGCAGCCGGCGGCGCUGGUAGUUGCGGACCUUGCCGCAGCGCGAAGACGACGGCGACGAGCCGCACCGGCGGCAGCGGCUAAGGACCGAGCCGGCAAUGGCCUGGCAUCAGACACGGAGAGACGAGAUGUAGGACCCGGACCCGUACGAGUGCGAUAGUAGUUAAGAACGGUGUGUUGAUGGUUUAGUUAAACCUCUGGCGUACCUAAGACGAGAUAUGAGCUGAAGCUGACGAGUAAAUGGAAAGAAGAUGUAGAGGGACAUAUACCACCGGAAACGAGUUCCACCCGUGUUUGGAACACACGUUCGUAAACCCCGUCUGGUUAAACUACUCUUCCUGGGACUUCUUAUACGGAGCUCCUCAAGGAAGAAGUUGACCACCAUAAAACCCUGAAUACCUCCGUGAGAACAAUGUCAAAGUUAGAACUUAAUGUAAGUUCUAUUGUAUUCGACCGUCAUACCCAAACCUUAGGGCACGCAGCAGUACAGAGAAAGAGAACGUCAAAAGACCGAACCCUGGUCCUGAAUGGCGAAAAUGGGACAAUCUUCACUACCUUCAGAUAAACCUCUCCAAGCGUCUAUGGAAAAUAGUAAUUAAUCUUGGACCGUACGUAGUACCACAAACUCUAGUGGACUACUAAGAGUGACGUACGGUUGUAGCUGUAGGUCGCUUCGGUUCCUAUUACGUCUUUACUAUACAAAGGGACUACUUCGGUUCAGUCACGAAUUCAACAAAGGCUAUCCUCGUUGGACGGACUAGAUACGUCAACAAAUACGGGUCACCUACUGCUACAAGUGAUUUGUUCGUUCAUGUGAUCUAUCCACCCAUCCAUCGGAUGUACAUGGUCGACGAAGGGAUGUUUCGGACUAGUCGCACAGUUAGUAGUAGAGUUAGGGAUAUAUACUGGUCUAUGAGCAAGGCGAUCGGUCUUUCAUGAGUUUCUUGGGGUCACCAUAGUGUGGGAACGUUUCCUAACCUCGACCUGAUCGGUAGAGACACCAGAACUACCAACAGCGCCGGGAACACCUCUACUCUUCCGAGUCCUAUCGGUCUCUUAUACCGGAUCACCUGUUUGGACUUCGCUGGUAAGGCUACUCGAAAACCACCUACCAUGGGGUCAAACAGGACCGGCCAGACCGUCUGUACAAGUGUCACCAGCCGGACGUUCUUAAGAAGAUACUGGUUCACGGCCUCCUAGACGCGUCGUACCCGGAACGGAAUAUGGACUCGUAUGAGCCCCGGCCCUCGAAGCGGUCACCGUAAGACCACAUGCGUUAGCUGACCCAUUGGUCGUUGCCGCCUCUAUCAACCAAGAGCCUGUUAGAUUUGGCGCCAGUAGAGCUAAUGAAGAUGACCGAAGACCGGCACGAGUCACAAGAGCCCGACCGACGAAAAGAAAUGAAAAGUGUUCACAUACAGGUGUUCUUUUUCCCGUAAAGUCGUGUUACUACCAUACGCUUCCCUGACCUUGACUCUACGGACUUUAGGUACCCAACAGCGGGUAUCGGAAAAGUCUCAGGUACUUAGACCUUCUACCCGACUUCGAAACGAAAUCCGACAACAUGUAUAUAUUAUCCUGUAAGAAGCAUUUAUGCAUUUCAGUGGUGGCAUUCAACUCCGCUUACUAGCCCGGACGAACCUGCAACGACGAAGUCGGCCGACUUGUUUUAGUCGCGAUCCAGGGAGUUGUCAAUGUGACGGCCUAGGUUACUCUUAAAGACGUCCCUUCAAAAGGGACGCGCAGUUACGGGACUCCACUCUACAGUCAAACGUGUGCCAGACAGGUAAGCUAAACACUCCAGACGUCGUAUGUUGCUUAAUAACGUAACUUUUAAACUUUUAUUUCAAAGAGGCUACAGCGUGUUGACGUGCCACGAGACGUUUACGCAACUUUACAACACAAUCGAGAAGACAAGUCAUUUCACCAUUUACGACGUGAGCUCCUGCCCCGCAGCUGGGCAACCGACCCGUCGACUCCAACGACGGUCGGGUAGGCUCAAGCUCAGGGCCGUGCCUGCGCGCCACGAGUGCCUCAAAGAGGAUAUUUUUUUUCGGUUGCUCCCAAUCGGGAACCCAACCAGAGUAAAAAAAAACAUUUACGACGUGAG
rnacentral:rRNA from 1 species